AAAAAGGUAAGCUAAUAAAGCUAUUAGGCUCAUAACCUAAAUAUAGAACUAGAUUUUUCUUCUUUUUA
rnacentral:tRNA from 1 species